CACGUGUAGCAGUGAAAUGCGUAGAGAUGUGGAGGAACACCAAUGGCGAAGGCAGCACCCUGGGAUGACACUGACGCUCAUGUACGAAAGCGUGGGUAGCAAACAGGAUUAGAUACCCUGGUAGUCCACGCCCUAAACGAUGUCAACUGGUUGUUGGGGGAGUGAAAUCCCUUAGUAACGAAGCUAACGCGUGAAGUUGACCGCCUGGGGAGUACGGUCGCAAGAUUAAAACUCAAAGGAAUUGACGGGGACCCGCACAAGCGGUGGAUGAUGUGGAUUAAUUCGAUGCAACGCGAAAAACCUUACCUACCCUUGACAUGUCCAUGAACCCUGCAGAGAUGCGGGGGUGCCCGAAAGGGAAUGUGGAACACAGGUGCUGCAUGGCUGUCGUCAGCUCGUGUCGUGAGAUGUUGGGUUAAGUCCCGCAACGAGCGCAACCCUUAUCAUUAGUUGCUACGCAAGGGCACUCUAAUGAGACUGCCGGUGACAAACCGGAGGAAGGUGGGGAUGACGUCAAGUCCUCAUGGCCCUUAUGGGUAGGGCUUCACACGUCAUACAAUGGUCGGUACAGAGGGUUGCCAAGCCGCGAGGUGGAGCCAAUCCCAGAAAGCCGAUCGUAGUCCGGAUUGUUCUCUGCAACUCGAGUAGCAUGAAGUCGGAAUCGCUAGUAAUCGCGGAUCAGCAUGUCGCGGUGAAUACGUUCCCGGGUCUUGUACACACCGCCCGUCACACCAUGGGAGUGGAAUGCUGGCAGAAGUAGGUAGCCUAACCGCAAGGGGGGCGCUUACCACGCGAGCGUUUCAUGACUGGGGUG
rnacentral:rRNA from 1 species